GACUUACAAAUUGGGGUUUAAAAGGAAGGCAUUUUAAUACUCGUCAUAUCUAUACGCAUUCGAUAUUGUUAGCACUCGGAGAACGCUUCCCUAAAGUCAAGCAAGAUGAAUAGACUGUCUACAUUAGCUUUAUACUUGGUACUCUUGAUGGGGGUUUUCCAGGCAAGCACGUCUUUAGAUCUUCCAAACUUUGAAGAACAGAGUCAAGACGCCGCAUGCGAAGGCUUUGAGGCAAGAAAAGUCAAUCGAGAAAUGAAAGACGCCUUCCUCAAAAGAGAAGGUCCACCGCCAAGACACAAUCGAUGGGGUGGUGGACUAGGGAAGAGAUAUUAGUUGGACUUUCAAAAUUUAAAGGCAAAUAUAGUUUCGAUUCUUAUUUUGAGUAAUGUAAACUUAAAACUACGAGAAAACUUAAGUCGAAAAAAUAAAAAAUGAACAAGCAAAUAAAUAAAUAGAGGAAGGAAGGAAAUAUUGGAUGGCGAGAAUGCAAACAAAGGAAGAAAAAAAAUAAAUAGGAAGCUAGUAAUAUGAGGAAAAGGAAUCGAUUACUGCAUACCGCGUUAAA